CCUACGGGGGGCAGCAGUAGGGAAUUUUGCGCAAUGGGCGAAAGCCUGACGCAGCAACACCGCGUGAAUGUUAAGCCCUUCGGGGUGUAUAGACCUGUCAAUAGGGACGAAUUUUGACUGUACCUAUAAAGGAAGCACCGGCUCACUCCGUGCCAGCAGCCGCGGGAAUACGGGGGGUGCCAGCGUUGUCCGGAAUCAUUGGGCGUAAAGCGUUCGUAGGCGGGUAGGUAAGUUUGAUGUUAAAGCCCGGGGCUCAACCCCGGUUCCGCAGUUGAUACUGUCUAGCUAGAAUGUGGUAGAGGUAAAGGGAAUGCGUGGUGUAGCGGUGAAAUGCGUAGAUAUCAGGAAGAACAUCGGUGGCGAAGGCACUUUACUGGACCAUUAUUGACGCUGAGGAACGAAAGCCAGGGGAGCGAAUGGGAUUAGAUACCCUUGUAGUC
rnacentral:rRNA from 1 species